CAGGCAUGACUUUCAGCCUUGGACCUGGCUUUGAUCUUCCUUCUGUUGUUCUGUUGUCCUUUUCUUUUUAGGGUGGAUGCUUCUUACUUUGUUUAGGGCUGUUGUCUAGGUCUUCAGCUGUUGGUAUUUGAACUUUAUCUCAUCAGGACAGACUGGGGCUGGAGGUUGAUUCCAUCAUUCAUACAUACCUCAUUCACACUUCUAAACUAAACUAAUAAGAUUACAGCAGGGUUUGCAAAAAUGAAGGUUGGAGGAAGCUUUUACAAAAUGGAGUGAGUGUUUUAAAAUGGGGUUUGAAUUACAAUAUGGAACAGAAGGUACAGUAUAGGCAAGUGUAGUGAAUGGUGAACAGAAGUUACAUUAAUAAAGUGAACAAUUGAAAACAAUUUCAUUUAUCAGUUCUACAGUGUACUGAGUCGGGGAACAGGGAGGGUUGGGAGUGGGAGUUCAGGGGGCCUGUCAAGGGGCAGUGAUG